UGCAAAUGUGCUCAUAUCAGUGAAUCCUUGGU
rnacentral:piRNA from 1 species